CAGAGAAUAGUUUAAAUAAAAAUAUUAAUUUUGGAGAUUAAUGAUAGAAGUAAUUUUUUUUCUCUGA
rnacentral:tRNA from 1 species